rnacentral:rRNA from 1 species
UACAGAGGGGGCAAGCGUUGUUCGGAAUUACUGGGCGUAAAGGGCUCGUAGGCGGCCAACUAAGUCAUACGUGAAAUCCCUCAGCUUAACUGGGGAACUGCGUGUGAUACUGGAUGGCUUGGAUUUGGGAGAGGGAUGCGGAAUUCCAGGUGUAGCGGUGAAAUGCGUAGAUAUCUGGAGGAACACCGGUGGCGAAGGCGGCAUCCUGGACCAAUAUUGACGCUGAGGAGCGAAAGCUAGGGGAGCAAACGGGG